rnacentral:lncRNA from 1 species
CUUUCUAAUCUACUGCAGCCUUGAUGCCUUCAUUUCAGUUUUCUUCACUCUUUUAACUUAAGAUUAUUGCUCCUACAUGGUGUCUUGAACACCAGUCAGGUUAGUUGAAAGAACAAAUACACCAAUAUUAUUCUCCCUACCCAGGCAAAUGUCCAGAAACAUGGAAUGCUCACAGAAGAAGGCUAAGAUUCAUAGUGAAAUCAGUCUCUUCCAAAUCACAAACUCACAUUUCUGAAGUCAACUAUGUUGAACAAUUAUAUUAAUUCAUUCAACUUCAUCCAAAAUUUAUACAGUUUAAGUUGUUGCCAACAGCACCAACUAGCAUUUUCUGCAAAUCCUUUGAAAAUCAACAAACAAGAAACUUUGUGUAGCAUAACAUAACCAGAGUAUGGGGAGUAAAAAUCAGUCAUGCACUGAUGCACAAACUCCAAUAGAAACUACUGUAUUACAUGUCAUCACUAACAGAAGAAUUCAGAAUUUCUUUUAAUACAAGCAGUCAUCAAGUGUACAUUAAACUGAGUUACAAACUAUUCACAUCU